rnacentral:lncRNA from 1 species
AGCGGUCUAGAGAGCCCACUGGAGAAAAGGAAAAAUUAACACUAUCAUGUUGAGUCUUCUAAUCCAUGAAAAUGGAUAUAUGAGGCAAAAAGAAAACCCACGGCACUCAUGACAAUGUUGUUCCUUUGGUCCGGAGGUCACCAGAGGAAUCUAUUGGAAAUAUAGGGGAGUUUCAUAAAACUGAGAAGAUGAGGAUGAAGGCUUAGAAAAUGGCAAGACCUCUUGAAAAUCAAUAGCAGGAUAUAUAGCAUCUGUGUUAUAGGAGAUUUGGUAAAGACAACCUCAAGCUGGAGACAGCUACAGCCACCAAGGAAAACCAUAACAGCUGUUGGAAACUCACCUCAAACAUUCCUCCAUCUUUGUAUCAUUUUAUCCAGAAUCAGCCCUGAACAGCAAUACCUGACUGUGUAGGGAGUGCACUUCUAUACUGGCUGUGGUGCUGAGAGGAGAGAGCUCUCACUUUGACUUCCAUUAUGGAAGGUGUGUGGUACUGCAAUCUACCACUAAUAUGUGCAACAAGGGAACUCUUCAAAAACAAGAACUGAAUGCUGGACAGCCAAAAGUUAAAUGACAAAAUGUUUAUCACACAUGAAUCAAGAAUUUGUAGACGUGCGAAAUUUUAAUCAGGGAACUCUGAGGAACUGAGAAGGGUGAAAAGGAGAUAAGCCUGAAGACUAAAGACAUAAUUUUAAUCAUAAUUUCUCAAAAACAGCAAAGGGUAGGUUCUAGAAAGUGCCAGCUAAUAAACUAAGGAGUAUUGGUAGCAAAGAAUAGGCUGAGUUGAGAAAUCCAGGUUGAAAAGAGUCAAGAUCAGGAAGGAAGUUGGUCAGACAAUAUUCUAAAAGAGCUUCUUAAACAGCUGAUCUGUUACCAAUGAAACAUUGUGAAGCACAAGAGUCAAUGCAUUCAGUUAUGGGCUUGUAAUUCAAAAAGUUCUUAAAAGCUUGGAAACCUGGGCCAAAACAUUCUGGAAUAAAUGGGACAAACGUAAUGGGGCAAAUGUGAAAUUUUGCAUGUGGGUUCGAAAAUGCAAUUGUUCUUACAGGAGAUGGAAUUUAGCCUUCGCUCAGAAAUUUAAUAGUAUAUGAGACUUGAAAGAUCAUAUAUUAAUAGUUCAAUUGCCUUAUUUAACAGGGAUAUUAACUUGAAGCCCAGAAAACGGGACUUGCCCAAGGAUUCACAGCCAAAUAGUAGUAAAACCAGAAUUAGCACUCAAGUUUGAUGACUAACUUCCUUAAAAUACUUUAAAAUUACCCUAAAAUGCCUUUAACCUGACAUCCAUCCCCAAGGAAAUAAUUUGAAGCUUACCAGCAUGCAUUUAAUGGGUGCCAAUGGUAUUCUGCAGCUGCUAAAAUAUUACCACAAACUUAGCCCGCAAUAAAAGAGGCAGAGUGUUCAGAGCUGGAAAAAUGGUGCAGCAUCUUCUACCCGAGUCAGCCAAUCUUGGAGGAUUACACUUGUUUCCCUCAAUCAUAUUUAAGGAGGAUUCUGGCCAACAUAAACUCUAAAAGAGUGAAUCCUUAAAGAUGGAUCCUGAGUGGCGAACUGGGCCUAAAUGUAAAAUACAACCAAGCAGCCAUUUGCUGAAGAAAGGUCACACAGGUACUCAGCAUCCCAGGAAAACCCACACACACAUAACUUUGGGACUUUCAAAGUUGUCUUUUUCUGUUUAUGCUGCCUGAAUCAAACUAUAGGCUGUGACCUGCAUCCACCAAUCAGAAGUCAAUGAGCAUCAAUCAAUCAGGACUAAGCAAGUGUGCAUCCCUCAUUUGCAUAAGUGGGCCCAUGUGGGAACUUUUUCUAUAAAACAUAACCCUCUCUUUGUUCUCUGGGAAUGCAUCUUUGUUUUGUACUGAAGUCUUUAUCAAAUUUUUGGUUUGCAAACUGCACAAAGAAAUGAAGUCUCUCUUAACCCAAUACUUCUUUCUCAGUAGUCUUGUUAACACUAACUAGG